AAAGGGUGCGUAGGCGGUUUGACAAGUCUUAUGUGAAAUCUCUGGGCUCAACCCAGAGUCUGCAUGGGAAACUGUCGGGCUUGAGUAUGGGAGAGGUGAGUGGAAUUUCCGGUGUAGCGGUGAAAUGCGUAGAUAUCGGAAGGAACACCUGUGGCGAAAGCGGCUCACUGGACCAUAACUGACGCUGAUGCACGAAAGCUAGGGGAGCAAACAGGAUUAGAUACCCCUGU
rnacentral:rRNA from 1 species